GUGCAUUACAAUAUACUAUUUGAUUGGCGCGAGACACUGCCGUGUCUCUUGAUACGCGUAUCAAACGAUCGGUGUAACUAGGUCAUUAUCAUGGUCUAUGACUUACGUCAAAUGGAUUUGAUACAUCGACCAUCAGUGACUGGUGUCUACGCGUGUCUCGGAUUUGCAUCGUAGCAACGUUUUACGCAGUUAGCCAUAGAAGGAAGGAAGAUAUCAAAAUACGGACCGUCAAAAUAAGAACCGAGAAAAGGUUAAUUUAGGUUACGUUGGUUAUAUUUAAGUCGCUUUGCGCCCAUAUCUAUACAAGGAUACAAGGUCGCUUUGCACCCAUACAAGAAAAAGAUAUAAUUACCAGAGGCGAAUGGCUUAUCGAUACACAUAUAAAUAAUUUCCAACGACUUUUACAAAGUUGUUCAGAUUAUAAACCUGUUGAUACAGUGCUAAUACAGCAUCCUGAUUCAAUAGAACCCAUACCGAGAAAUAGAAAGCAUAUCCAGAUACUACAUAGUUCGUUGGGAGGAGGACAUUGGGUAUGUAGUUAUUAUGAUACAAAAAACAUAUGUAUUUACGAUUCUUUAAAUAAUAAAAUGUUACAUGAGCAUUAUAAA